rnacentral:rRNA from 1 species
UACGAAGAGGGCGAGCGUUGUUCGGAAUUACUGGGCGUAAAGGGCGCGUAGGCGGCCGAUCAAGUCAGAUGUGAAAGUCCUGGGCUUAACCUGGGGACUGCAUUUGAUACUGAUUGGCUUGAAUGCAGGAGAGGAUAGCGGAAUUCCCAGUGUAGAGGUGAAAUUCGUAGAUAUUGGGAAGAACACCGGUGGCGAAGGCGGCUAUCUGGACUGUGAUUGACGCUGAGGCGCGAAAGCGUGGGGAGCAAACAGG